ensembl:lncRNA
UUUUUGUGAAGUGUCCCUUUGAAUCAUUUUUAAUCAUGUUAAUGAGGAUUAUGUAAUCAUUUAUAUUCACAAACAGUAUUGAAGAAUUUGAUUUUCAAACCCUUUACCCUAUUUAUAUUAGAAUAAAACAGACAAAUAAUUGUUAACGCUUUAAGUUGUGUUCUAUUGAAAGGAUCUAGCUACAGGCUAACCAGAGUUUGACUCGGCGGAAGCAUAAAUAUUGCAGCGCGGAAGGAUACAUGAGUGAAUCGACAGUGAUCCAAGUGUCAAUCAAAGGUGGGAGGAUGGCGCUUCGACAUUUAUCCACGUAGGAUUUAAUCACCGGAGUUAUUUAAUUUUGGGAUAGAGGUCACUGAAGAGGAGAGAAGUAAAUUCAAAGAUAAUGAAGUUGACGGAGAAGCAGUGGACUAUGGAUUGACUGAGAGGAUGAUUUCAUGCCUCUUUGAAGGAUCGUUUAAGAAGCAAGCCAAAUUCAACCGAUUUGUUCAGCAGUUCUAAACAUACACACAGAUUGGGCAUUAUGUGGAAAACUAUUAAUUCCUCUUUCUUUCUGUCAUCACUAUUACGCCUACUUGGUGAAUUAUGAACAGGACUGGACUGUCCUUGGCCCCCUUUGAGGUGAUGGAUUUUCAUGCUUUGGAUACAUACGGUGUCGAUGAUAAACUGU